rnacentral:rRNA from 1 species
CGCAGCCGCGGUAAUUCCAGCUCCAAUAGCGUAUAUUAAAGUUGUUGCAGUUAAAAAGCUCGUAGUUGAAUUUCGGGACCAAUUUGUUGGUCGUGCCUCGGUACGUACUGGUAUUAUUGGUUUCUCCCUUCUGAAGAACCUCGAUGUCAUUAAUUUGGUGUCUUGGGGAAUCAGGACUGUUACUUUGAAAAAAUUAGAGUGUUUAAAGCAGGCUCGCGCUUGAAUACAUUAGCAUGGAAUAAUGAAAUAGGACGUUUGAUUCUAUUUUGUUGGUUUCUAGGAUCGACGUAAUGAUUAAUAGGGAUAGUUGGGGGCAUUAGUAUUCAAUUGUCAGAGGUGAAAUUCUUGGAUUUAUUGAAGACUAACUACUGCGAAAGCAUUUGCCAAGGAUGUUUUCAUUAAUCAAGAACGAAAGUUAGGGGAUCGAAGACGAUCAGAUACCGUCGUAGUCUUAACCAUAAACUAUGCCGACUAGGAAUCAGAC